rnacentral:rRNA from 1 species
UAGGGAAUCUUCGGCAAUGGACGAAAGUCUGACCGAGCAACGCCGCGUGAGUGAAGAAGGUUUUCGGAUCGUAAAACUCUGUUGUUAGAGAAGAACAAGGACGUUAGUAACUGAACGUCCCCUGACGGUAUCUAACCAGAAAGCCACGGCUAACUACGUGCCAGCAGCCGCGGUAAUACGUAGGUGGCAAGCGUUGUCCGGAUUUAUUGGGCGUAAAGCGAGCGCAGGCGGUUUCUUAAGUCUGAUGUGAAAGCCCCCGGCUCAACCGGGGAGGGUCAUUGGAAAAUGGGGGCCUUGAGUGCAGAAGAGGAGAGUGGAAUUCCAUGUGUAGCGGUGAAAUGCGUAGAUAUAUGGAGGAACACCAGUGGCGAAGGCGGCUCUUUGGUCUGUAACUGACGCUGAGGCUCGAAAGCGUGGGGAGCAAACAGG